AACUCGAAAGUAGGGGGACUAGUGUUGGGUAUAAAAUAACCCCAGUCGAAGUUCGUAAGAGGCCAACUCUCCUAGGACUCUUCUGGCUUCCAACCUUGUGCAGCAUCUUUCUGAACUCCCUUGGCUGUCCGAGCUUCCACAGUACCAUCCGAACUCCUCCAGCAGUCGACCUUCCACAGUGUCCUCCAGAUUCCUCCAACGGACGAACUCCUAUCAUACCCUCUAGACUUCUUCAAUAAUGAGCUCCUUCAGUCAUCUAUCGGACUGCUCCAAAUGCUUUUUGGGCUUCACUAUCAGCCGAUAUUUUAUAGUGAUCGACUACUCUCUGAAUCUCUUCCAGACUUCCUCCUGUCACGAUCGACUUUACUCC
rnacentral:lncRNA from 1 species